GCCUACGGGGCGCAGCAGUGGGGAAUAUUGGGCAAUGGGCGCAAGCCUGACCCAGCAACGCCGCGUGAAGGAAGAAGGCUUUCGGGUUGUAAACUUCUUUUGUCAGGGACGAAGCAAGUGACGGUACCUGACGAAUAAGCCACGGCUAACUACGUGCCAGCAGCCGCGGUAAUACGUAGGGGGCAAGCGUUAUCCGGAUUUACUGGGUGUAAAGGGAGCGCAGGCGGCGUGGCAAGUCAGAUGUGAAAACCCGGGGCCCAACCCCGGGAGUGCAUUUGAAACUGCCAUGCUGGAGUGCCGGAGAG
rnacentral:rRNA from 1 species